GAUGAACGCUGGCGGCGUGCCUAAUACAUGCAAGUAGAACGAUGAAGCUUGGUGCUUGCACCGAGCGGAUGAGUUGCGAACGGGUGAGUAACGCGUAGGUAACCUGCCUCUUAGCGGGGGAUAACUAUUGGAAACGAUAGCUAAUACCGCAUAAAAGUCGAUAUCGCAUGAUAUUGAUUUGAAAGGUGCAAAUGCAUCCCUAAGAGAUGGACCUGCGUUGUAUUAGCUAGUUGGGGAGGUAAAGGCUCACCAAGGCGAAGAUACAUAGCCGACCUGGGAGGGUGAUCGGCCACACUGGGACUGAGACACGGCCCAGACUCCUACGGGAGGCAGCAGUAGGGAAUCUUCGGCAAUGGGGGCAACCCUGACCGAGCAACGCCGCGUGAGUGAAGAAGGUUUUCGGAUCGUAAAGCUCUGUUGUAAGAGAAGAACGAGUGUGAGAGUGGAAAGUUCACACUGUGACGGUAACUUACCAGAAAGGGACGGCUAACUACGUG
rnacentral:rRNA from 1 species